ACCUAAUUACUCUCAUUCUUCUUUAUCCUCUCAUACCUCGUCACUCGCUUCCUCUCCAGAUUCUUCACUUCUCCCCACACAAAACAAAGCAAAGAUCUCUCUCAGAUCUGAAUCCUUCAUCUCCAAUCUCUAAUGGCGGCACCACCAGCAUCAUCCUGGGCAAGGGAAGAGUUCGUUUACCUCGCAAAUCUCUCUCUCUCUUCUCUCAGAUCUGAAUCCUUCAUCUCUGAUCUCUAACGGCGGCACCACAACUAGAUUUUGUCGACAAAGACGAACUCACCGUCGAGGAACGUAAAAUCCUCUCUGUGACUUACAAAAUCGUUAUCGACGCACGUCGUGCUUCGUGGUUGUGUUUAAGACUCCCAGGUUUGACUAGUUUGUCGUGAUUCUUAAGCUUGUGGACCUUAUAAGGAAGAGGUGGAACCUGUUGAGGACGAAUUCUCGCGAAAGAGGUAGUCUUUUAAGAAUAUGUAUACCUUGCUCUUUUCUUUUCUUUUCUUUAUUCUGAUGAUUUCAAAGCUGUGUUUUUUUGUGAUGUGGUGUGGUUUGUUUACUUUAAGAGUAUUUGCAGCUAAUGCUUUCUCUUGGUCUCCACUAGUUUUGGAUCAUUAAUUCGAUUUUUGUAGCUUUGAUUCACCUUGAUUGCAAUCUUGUUUUUUUUGCUAAACGUCUGUGAUAGUGAGUGAUACAAUGCAAAAUUCUAGGCUUUAAGAUCAACUACAAGUUCCUUGUAGAUAAGUACACUAGUAUAUUACUGUUUUAAGGUGAAACUAGCUCAAAUAGUUUCUACGGAAAACAUGUUAAGCUUUCUCUAUGUUCUGGGAUGUUGUGUUUGUUUUGUGGGUUAAAAACAGAUCAAAAGCUAUCUCCGGAAAGUCUCAACCAUUCUGUUUAGAUACACUACUUGAAUAUAGAAAGUGCAUCAUCUGUCAAGACGAAUAUGAGCCGAAGGAUCAAAAUAAAAAUUUGUUCAUGAGGAUUAUGCACAGAAAUGCUGACUGGAAGGCGAAACUUAAAGAUGAGACGAGAUUGAAGUUUAUCUUUAUGAUGUUAGCUUUAUUUUGUUUAAUACUUGAUAUGAUGUUAUGUAAAAAUAGAUAAUGUAAUAUUAUGUAUGUUGAUGAUUUAUGAAAUAUAAAAAUUAUAUUAGAAAUU